ACCCUGCAAGCAACCAGCACAAGGGGAGGGGAGACAGUCAGGUGAGAAAACAGACAAAACCUCCCACAGCCCAGUCCCUGAAGGCAGCAGCCCCACUCCUGACCUUGGAGCAGAAAGAGGAAGAUUGAUUUCUGAGGGACGAUGAAACUGUCCCUUCCUAUCUGAUCAGAUGCUUUAACCCCCUGAAUGGGUCGUGAGUUUGGGGACAUAGAAUGACCACACCUGAAGCUGACAGAAAAGACCUGGGGUCAGUAGGGCUUUCGUGCAGGUGGGUGAAGGGGAAAGGCCUCCCCCGCUGACUAGUUCGAGGGGACAGUGAGAGGCAAAGCCCGAGCGGCAUUGAGAUGACGUCCCCGAUUCCGGGACUGGUGUCACUGAGCUCAAGCCUUCACAUUGGGCCUGACACUCCCCACCCCUGUCAUCCCCCAGAGGCACAGCCUUGACCCACAGGGAGGUUCCGGAAGAAAAUUCUUCCUCCGCUUUCGUCCAGAAUUGAGGAAUGUUUACUAAUUUUUCCUUCCUAUUUGCCUGGAAAUGACACUAAAAACAAGAAAAAAAAAAAAGGACUCCUUGUCCCCGUGCAAAACACCCACACCCUCUGAACUCUUCACCCUGCCGCCGUCUGACUUCACCCCAGGAUGGCGAGGCACUGGUGCCAAGAAGCAGUCAAAACCCCCCAUCAGCCAAUGGCAGCACUUCUUGGAUGAGUUUCCCGAAGAGCUUAAUCAUGAACAAAUUGCUGUCACUUCGCCUGCAGCUGACAAGCCCAGGAGAGUUUCAGGACCAGGCCUUCCCUGGGGAGAACACAGGAUUGAAACUUUCCCCUUGGGGGCUGCUGCAAGACCACCCAAGGGCCAGCAAAGGAGCCAGUGACUGGUGAGCCACAGCCCACAAGGUGCUCCAACCCAGUACCUUCCGGCCCCACUCCCCGCUGGCCUCCUCCUCCGCAGAACAGGAAGGGGUGUGGGAGCACCAUUUCCACUGGAACACUGACGACACAGCCUACAAGAGCAGCCAAAAGCAAGGACUCUGGAAUUCAAUUCCUGGCUCCACCGCUCACCACCAGUGACCCUGGCAGGCGACAUGGCCUCUUUAUCUUAGUUUGCUCCUCUGUAAAACGAGGCUGAUGAUACCACGACCCUGUCACAGGACUGUGGGAGGAUUAAAUGAGUAAAUCUGGGCAAAUCACGUAGGACAGUGUCUGGAAAGAGUAAGCACUCUGUGUCAGCUGUCGUGAGCAAAUUUGUCUUGGGUUCUAAAGUAUGUGCGUGUCGAGCAAUUCUACUUAAAGAAUUCUAGGUUUGGGCAAGAAAUGGAGAGCUAUUCGGGAUGGGUUUCCAUCAUCCCUGAAAUCAAACCUGUGCCUACAUGUGAACAGCCUGACUGUAACCCAAAACAUCCCUUUAUUGUCUCUGCUCUUCCAGAUAGCCCUAAAAGUGUGAGCCAAGAACGAACCUGGCUGGUGGGGGGCCUCGUGGCCUGACAUCCUGCUAUGGUCCAGCUUUGCCUCUGCCAGCCCGGGACCUGCAGGUCCCUCUCACACACAGGCUGAGCCCCUCUCCUCCCCUCUCCUCUCAAUGACCAUGGCGCCGGGACUCUGGGACACACACACACCUGCCAUCCCAUCAGAUCCUCUUUAAAAACCGUGAAGUGGGAGUUCCUGUUGUGGCUCAGCGGUAAUGAAACCAACUAGUAUC